UACGUAGGGUGCAAGCGUUAAUCGGAAUUACUGGGCGUAAAGCGUGCGCAGGCGGUUGUGCAAGACAGAUGUGAAAUCCCCGGGCUCAACCUGGGAAUUGCAUUUGUGACUGUACGGCUAGAGUGUGUCAGAGGGGGGUAGAAUUCCACGUGUAGCAGUGAAAUGCGUAGAGAUGUGGAGGAAUACCGAUGGCGAAGGCAGCCCCCCUGGGAUAACACUGACGCUCAUGCACGAAAGCGUGGGGAGCAAACAGG
rnacentral:rRNA from 1 species